CAACAACAUAGAAAAUUUUCUUUAAAAAUAAAAAAAAAAAAAAUAAUAAAAUAUCUUUUAAGUUAAAAAUAAUUAAGUGAUUUAAGUUCUUGACAAAACCCCUUAAAAAAGAAUCGAGGAUGAAAAUACUUAUUCAUGUAGAAGGUUGGAAGAUCCUUCCUGACCUCCACAUCUGUUUUCCAAUCCCCUUUUCAAGCCUUUCUGAUGCAGUCAAGAUCUCUUUUCUGAUUUUUCUCGCAUCUUAUCUGAUAAAAGUUUCGUUCGUCAGCACUUUAUUUUUAAAAAAAAGACUGAUGCUGUUCCCAGUUUAUAAUAAACGCAAAUGAAGUUUGGUGGUGUUAAAUAAUCGAGGC
rnacentral:lncRNA from 1 species